rnacentral:lncRNA from 1 species
AUUCAAUUGUGCUUCCUUGAUACAUAUAUUACUUGUCCUACAUUAUUUACAGUUGAUUUGUGAAAUUGGUAAUUAAUAUGCAAACAGAAAAUUAUUUGAUCAUGUGAAUUAAUGAAUGGUAGUCUUACUAGAUAUCCUGGAAGAUGGUGGACGGACCGGGUAUAUAGAAAACCCGAUCGUGAACAUUACUUCAUACCGGAUUGGGUAUGGAGACGGCCCGAUUCACCCUCAUACCAAACGAGGUAUUGAAUUAUGGUAUUUUUGGUGCUCAUACCGAAAGAGGUAUGAAGACGACCAGUUAGUUGAUAAUGUUAUAUAUUGGUUCACACGUAGUGAGACAUCCUUAUGGACCCCCAGGGAUACUAGUAGACAAAUAAAAAGGAAAAGUAGUUGU